AGAGUUUGAUCCUGGCUCAGGACGAACGCUGGCGGCGUGCCUAAUACAUGCAAGUAGAACGCUGAAGAGAGGAGCUUGCUCUUCUUGGAUGAGUUGCGAACGGGUGAGUAACGCGUAGGUAACCUGCCUUGUAGCGGGGGAUAACUAUUGGAAACGAUAGCUAAUACCGCAUAACAAUGGAUGACACAUGUCAUUUAUUUGAAAGGGGCAAUUGCUCCACUACAAGAUGGACCUGCGUUGUAUUAGCUAGUAGGUGAGGUAACGGCUCACCUAGGCGACGAUACAUAGCCGACCUGAGAGGGUGAUCGGCCACACUGGGACUGAGACACGGCCCAGACUCCUACGGGAGGCAGCAGUAGGGAAUCUUCGGCAAUGGGGGCAACCCUGACCGAGCAACGCCGCGUGAGUGAAGAAGGUUUUCGGAUCGUAAAGCUCUGUUGUAAGUCAAGAACGAGUGUGAGAGUGGAAAGUUCACACUGUGACGGUAGCUUACCAGAAAGGGACGGCUAACUACGUGCCAGCAGCCGCGGUAAUACGUAGGUCCCGAGCGUUGUCCGGAUUUAUUGGGCGUAAAGCGAGCGCAGGCGGUUUGAUAAGUCUGAAGUUAAAGGCUGUGGCUCAACCAUAGUUCGCUUUGGAAACUGUCAAACUUGAGUGCAGAAGGGGAGAGUGGAAUUCCAUGUGUAGCGGUGAAAUGCGUAGAUAUAUGGAGGAACACCGGUGGCGAAAGCGGCUCUCUGGUCUGUAACUGACGCUGAGGCUCGAAAGCGUGGGGAGCGAACAGGAUUAGAUACCCUGGUAGUCCACGCCGUAAACGAUGAGUGCUAGGUGUUGGAUCCUUUCCGGGAUUCAGUGCCGCAGCUAACGCAUUAAGCACUCCGCCUGGGGAGUACGACCGCAAGGUUGAAACUCAAAGGAAUUGACGGGGGCCCGCACAAGCGGUGGAGCAUGUGGUUUAAUUCGAAGCAACGCGAAGAACCUUACCAGGUCUUGACAUCCCGAUGCUAUUUCUAGAGAUAGAAAGUUACUUCGGUACAUCGGUGACAGGUGGUGCAUGGUUGUCGUCAGCUCGUGUCGUGAGAUGUUGGGUUAAGUCCCGCAACGAGCGCAACCCCUAUUGUUAGUUGCCAUCAUUCAGUUGGGCACUCUAGCGAGACUGCCGGUAAUAAACCGGAGGAAGGUGGGGAUGACGUCAAAUCAUCAUGCCCCUCAUGACCUGGGCUACACACGUGCUACAAUGGUUGGUACAACGAGUUGCGAGUCGGUGACGGCAAGCUAAUCUCUUAAAGCCAAUCUCAGUUCGGAUUGUAGGCUGCAACUCGCCUACAUGAAGUCGGAAUCGCUAGUAAUCGCGGAUCAGCACGCCGCGGUGAAUACGUUCCCGGGCCUUGUACACACCGCCCGUCACACCACGAGAGUUUGUAACACCCGAAGUCGGUGAGGUAACCUUUUGGAGCCAGCCGCCUAAGGUGGGAUAGAUGAUUGGGGUGAAGUCGUAACAAGGUA
rnacentral:rRNA from 1 species